AUAUGAACAGCUGUAUGUAAUCCACAGGACAGGGGCAAAACCUAGUGAUCCAGAAAGGGAGAUAAUCUAAUCCCGGGCAUUGCCCAAUCCACUGUGUUCCCCAGGAUAGACCUUUGUGAAUACCUUCACUAACUCUGUGUGUGUGUGUGUGUGUGUGUGUGUGUGUGUGUGUGUGUGUGUGUGCUGUGUGCUGUGCAGGGAGCAGCUUACAGGGAUCACUUCUUUGCUUCUAUGUUGGUUCCAGGGACUGACUUGUGUUGUCCGGCUUGGUGGCUCCUUACCCACUCAGUUGUCUUACUAGCUCCUCCUCCACUUCCUUCUCCUCUUCUUUUCCUUCUUCUCCUCCCUUCUCUCCCCUCCCUCCCCCCUUCUGAGAGAAAAAGAGAGAGAGAGAGAGAGAGAGAGAGAGAGAGAGAGAGAGACUCAUGUAGGCAGGCGAGCAUACAUGCAGGUGGAACUUAAAGGUUAACUUGCAAGGUUUUGGUUCUCCUCCCAGCAUGGGUUCUAGGGAUCCAACUCAGGUGGUCAGGCUUGGUGGCAAGCUCCAUUACCGGCUGAGCCAUAUUGCUGGCCCUGUAAGCUGCUUUUUAAACAAACAAACAAACAAACAAACAAACAAAGUUUAUUUAAUAAGGCAACCCGAUUCUACAAAGUCCCAUAAUAUUUUUCUUUUAGAUUUAUUUAUUUUAUGUAUGAGUACUCUAUUUGUAUGUACACCUACAUGCCAGAAGAGGGCAUCAGAUCCCAGUAUAGAUGGUUUUGAGCCACUAUGUGGUUGCUGGGAAUUGAACUCAGGGCCUCUGGAAGAGCAGAUAGUGCUCUUAACCACUGAGUCAUCUUUCAGCCCUCAAGUCCCAUACUAUUUUAACUAAAAAAUUAUGUAUAUUGAUGGGCAGGCAAAGUGACAGAUUUUUUAUGGCAUUUUAUAGAUGCUCUGUCCCCCUUGCCUCAUGUUGUGAUUUUUCGUGUAUUGUGUAAAAACUCUUGUAUUGACUGCUAAAUGAUGGAGUGCCAUGGUUUACUGGAGAAUAAGUGUUGGGAAACGGUAACAGGACAAAAGGAAACCAAAUACUUCGUAGAGUUCUUGUGUGUUUUUGUAACUUGGUAUCACAAAGAACUUGCUGUUAAGACAGGAAGCACUGCCGUGUGUCAGGCAGGUUGUGUUACAAGGACUAGAUACUCACAGAUAAAGAUCUGGUCUGUCACACUGGUAGUGGUGACAGGGAUCUGUGUACAGCCAACUCUAGCCUCUCGUUCUCGCCUGUUCUCACGGAGAUGAGUUGAAGCCCUAGAGCAACGGGACAGAAGUGAAAGUCAUCAUGCCACUGAAAGGAACGGUCUGCUGGGAGUGGCCUGGGAGAGCAGGGUUGGGGUUAGGGUUCAUCCCUAAGGCUGGGACUCUGCAGUGUAUAGAUAGGCUUUAAGGAUGGAGACAGCUUGUAUCAUUUCUCAGCCAUGCAGUCCAGUAAACUGGACCAACUAAUGGGAACAGCUAAGCUGAAUUCAUGGGACAGGGCUGGAUUCAAAAACACAGUGGCAGAGCAUUAAUGCCAGCUCUAAUUCUAAUUAAGGCUCUAUAUGUAGACAUUCACCUCUGUUUAGGUAGGUAUCUUUUUAUUAAAUGCUCUAGCUGAUCAAUUGAUCAGCUAAUUGAUUGAGACAAUGACUCACUGUAUAGCCCCAGGCAGCCUUGAACUCCGUGCAUAUAUAGCUCGGGCUAUAUACUCUGGAUUGUCCUUCUUCAGAUUCUCAAGUGCUGGCAUUAUGCCUGCACUUCACAGUGUGGCUCUGAUCCUGCCCUUUAGAAGACAUUUACUGGAUAGACAUCAGCCAUGUCAAAACAUCACACGCCGCCUGCCAAACUUUCACAGGUACAACCCGUAAAAUUUACUUCCUAAAAUGUAAUUCAGUGGUUUGCAGUAUUUCCAUAAGAUUGUACAACCUUUCUUGCUAAUUCCCAAACUUAAAACCUUGAGUUCGGUUUCUCACCUUUUUGUGGGGACCGUACACUAAGUAUAUUGUCUAUUACUGUAUCUCCAAGAGUAGAACAAGUCUUGGCAGAGAAUGUAUUAUGACCAAUAAGUGUUUGUUGAACAAAUGAAUCUCUGUGGUUGUGCAUUGAGAGCUAUUUAGAUUUUGCAAUCAACAAAGUUUUCUAUUAUUCUGUUGUU
rnacentral:lncRNA from 1 species